CCUACGGGGGGCAGCAGUGGGGAAUAUUGGACAAUGGGCGAAAGCCUGAUCCAGCCAUGCCGCGUGUGUGAAGAAGGCCUUCGGGUUGUAAAGCACUUUCAGUGGGGAAGAAAGCCUUGGGGCUAAUACCCUCGAGGAAGGACAUCACCCACAGAAGAAGCACCGGCUAACUCCGUGCCAGCAGCCGCGGUAAUACGGAGGGUGCGAGCGUUAAUCGGAAUUACUGGGCGUAAAGCGCGCGUAGGCGGUCUGAUAAGCCGGUUGUGAAAGCCCCGGGCUCAACCUGGGAACGGCAUCCGGAACUGUCAGGCUAGAGUGCAGGAGAGGAAGGUAGACUUCCCGGUGUAGCGGUGAAAUGCGUAGAGAUCGGGAGGAAUACCAGUGGCGAAGGCGGCCUUCUGGACUGACACUGACGCUGAGGUGCGAAAGCGUGGGUAGCAAACAGGAUUAGAUACCCGAGUAGUC
rnacentral:rRNA from 1 species